rnacentral:rRNA from 1 species
UCGGGAAUAUUGCGCAAUGGAGGAACUCUGACGCAGUGACGCCGCGUGCGGGAAGAAGGUUUUCGGAUUGUAAACUGCUUUAGACAGGGAAGAAACAAAUGACAGUACCUGUAGAAUAAGCUCCGGCUAACUACGUGCCAGCAGCCGCGGUAAUACGUAGGGAGCAAGCGUUAUCCGGAUUUAUUGGGUGUAAAGGGUGCGUAGAUGGACAAACAAGUUGGUUGUGAAAUACCUCGGCUCAACUGAGGAACUGCAACCAAAACUGUAGGUCUUGAGUACUGGAGGGGAAAGCGGAAUUCCUAGUGUAGCGGUGAAAUGCGUAGAUAUUAGGAAGAACACCGGUGGCGAAGGCGGCUUUCUGGACAGAAACUGACA